CAAUAUUUCUCUUGUCCAACACAUACAAAACAUUGCCAAAUUCUGAUUUUAAAGUAGCGUUUGGUUCGGGAACAAUGGAGGGAAUAAGCUCUUGUUACCCUUUGUUCCCAAACGCCGCGUUUGGUUUCUGAAAAUAGUAGUUCUCGGGUUCUUAGAAUAAGUUGGUAUAAGGGUAGGACUGUUGUUCCACAUUUUUUCUGGAACAAGCUUGUUUCCGGAUGAGAACAAGGUUAAUUAAAAUUUAAUUUUAAUUUUAAUGACGGUAAAUCUUUAAUUAAUCUAAUUAAUAUAUUUAAAUUAUUAUUUAUUACUUAAAUAAUUUAUUUAUUUAUUUAUUUAUUAUUUAUAAUUAAUUAUUAUUAAUUAGAUAAUUACUAUUAUUAAUUUAUUAUUUAUAAUUAAUUUAUAAUUAAUUAUUAAUCAUUAUUAUUCUUAAUAAUUAGAUAAUCGAUAUUAUUAUUGAUUUAUUAUUUAUAAUUAAUUAUUAAUUUUGUAUAAUUAUUAUUAUUUAUUAAUAACUAUUAUUAAUAAUAAUUAGAUAAUCGAUAUUAUUAUUAAUUAAUAAUUAUUAAUAAAUAGAUAAUCGAUAUUAUUAUUAAUUUAUUAUUUAUAAUUAUUUAUUAAUAAUAAUUGUAAAUAAUAAAUCAAUAAUUUUAACGGUGUAGAAAUAUCCAAAUCACAUGAAAUUUUGAUAGAAAAUUUUUUAUAUCAUAUAAAAUAAGAUCGAUAAUUUUGAUCUAAAAUUUUAAUGUCAUAUCAUCAUAUUUUGUAAGAUUUUUAUUUUCAGCCGUUGAUUUUGAGCCACUUCGAUCACUAGGCAAAUAAUAUCGAAAAAUCGCAAAAUUUAUUUUCUAGAUACUUCAAAUACUCUAGAUCAAGUCUAACGGAGCCGAUCGUCGAUUCGAAAGUCCAAACAUCGAAAACAAAGUGGAAGCACGGAGCCCUCCGUGCUUCCAUAAGCAUUCUAGCCGCACUAUAUAUAUAGUGUCCGGCUACUAUCCUAUUAAUAGGAUUGUGACCCUUGUCCUAUCAAGUCGUUUUGAAUGAUCGGAACUUCAAAUUGAUAAUCGGCACCGUUGAAGUUGAUCUACACUAUUAGAAAUGUUUAGAAACCAAAUUUUGUAUUAUUUAAAAAUCAUUAUCAAGUUUAUCUUAAGAGUUGAAAAAUGAACGGUCAUAAAUGAAUAACCUUCUUAAAAUAGAGGUUAGACUUUCUCAGUUCGUAAUCAGAGUUAUCAAAUAUUAUCUAAAUAGUAUAAAGAAUUUUCGAUCAAAAAUUCAAGCAAUUUGGAUUGCUCUACACCGUUAAACAAGCAAACGGCUCAUAUAGGCCAUCAAAAAUUGUCGAUUUUAUAACACUUUGAUCAACAUGUAAACCAUUAUCAAAAUUUAUGAAAUUUAGUUUCUAGAGAUUUCAAAUACUCUAGAUCAACUUCAACGGCUCCGAUCAUCGAUUCGGAAUCUCGAUCAUCAAGAACAACUUGAUAGGACAAGUGCUCCUAUCCUAUUAAUAGGAUAGUAGCAUUAGCCUAUAUAUAUAUAUAUAGUCCGGCUACUAUGCUAUUAAUAACAUGAAGCGCUUGGUGCUACCAAGUUUUCCACCGUUAAAUCUACAUUUUGAUCAUUUUCACCCGUUAGAUCAUACUUUUCAAACAACCACCCACUCAACCCUAGAGGGCCCACAUUAUCUUAACCAUAUAUCUCUUAAUACAAUGGCCAAAAACUUGGUAGCACCAAUGACUUGGUGCUAUUAAUAGCAUAGUAGCCUAGUUAUAUAUAUAUAUAUAGAGUGGGCUGGUAUGCUUUCGUAAGCACGGAGGCCUCCGUGCUUCCACUUUGUUUUCGAUGUUCGGACUUUCGAAUCGACGAUCGGCUCCGUUAGAGUUGAUCUAGAGUAUUUAAAGUACCAAGAAAUUAAAUUUUGCGAUUUUUCGAUAUCAUUUGCCUAGUGAUCGAAGGGGCUCAAAAUCAAUAAUUUUAACGGCCGUGGUGAGCCAGUUGCAAGUUUAACGGUGUAGAAAUAUUCAAAUCACGUGAAAUUUUGAUAGAAAAUUCUUUAUACCAUAUAAAACAAGAUCAAUAACUUUGAUCUAAAAUUUUAAUGUCAUAUCAUCAUAU
rnacentral:lncRNA from 1 species